rnacentral:misc_RNA from 1 species
AAAAGAAAUGGUAAGAAAAGGUCACUGAAAAGGAAGGAUGAUUCAGUCGAUGAUGGAUCAGGUUCAGAUUCAAGAGAGAAGAAGAGGGGGAGGUCAAAAAGGAGGAGCAGAAGAGAUUCCAAUGAUUCAGAUGACAGCAGAAGGAAGAGGAGAAAGGAGAAGCACAGGAAAAGAGACGAUUCAUCAGAUGAGGGUGAAAAACAUAGGCGACAUCAUAGGAAGAGUAGAAAAGAGAAAAGAAGAAGAAGAAGCCAUAGAUGUUCCGAUGACUCGGAUUCUGAUACAUCUGAGGGAACUCGUGGAAGGCACAAACACAAGAGUAGGAAGGCUGCAUCGUUAACUGAUUCUGAAGCUAGCAGCUCUGAUGAUACAAGGGGCAGGGCGAGGAAGCGCUCUGAAAAGAGAAGCAGGAAACAUCGUUAUGAGGAUGAAUAGACCAAGCAUAACAGUGGGAGAAAGAUGGAUAUCGUGAUCCUUUCUGGUAGCUUGGAUUUACCAUUAAUAAACCCAGCUAUGGUUGGCUCUAGACACGACCACGGCUGAAAUUUAUUGUGGUAUUGCAUUCAUAUAUAAGCUGUAUUUUGUUGUGUGCCUUCUCAUUGUGUACAUUAUGCUUAUUUCAAAUCAAAAUGUGAAAAAAAAGAUAUUAUGAAAACACUAGAUAGUUCGGGAGGCUGAAAGGAACAGAAUUUCUUUCCAAACGCGCAUGGCUCUAUGUUGACAUUCUCUGAAUUCUGA